rnacentral:piRNA from 1 species
UGAAGUACUCCAUACGGUAUCUCCGG